GCAGCAGAGAAAUUCUGUAUGCUGGCUGUACAGACACAUGCUCCCCCAGAAUGGCAUACAAGGUGCUGACCUCUAAGGCUGAAGCUACACUUUGCACCUAGACCGAAAAUGUUGACGUGACUUCUUAGCAGACCAAGAAGGCUUCUUUAAGGUCUUUCAUAAAGCCACCUGAUGGGGUCAAGUACAAUACAUAAUCACUACUCAACCUGGUGAGACAUUUUCUUUGCUGUAUUUAAACACAAGAUCAAAAAGAUCAGAGACCUAUUUCUGCUCUCUUCUUUCCUUGUUAGGGUCUUCAUUAUUUUUUAAGUGCUUUGGGAUAUACCUGCAGCAUGAAAACGAUACAGACAAGUCAAAUUCUAUUCUUUCCUAUGCUCCAGAGAAACAUAUGUUACCAUCCAACAUAUUAAGAGUAGAAAAAAAAGUCAAAAGAGGUGAACUGUUUUGCCAGAUGAGUCCAGAGAUAGAUGCUUCAUUAAUCCUUCCUAGGUAUGUGAGAAAAAGGACUGAAUGAGUGGGCUAGGCACAGCUUAAAAGAGGUUCCCUCCAAACAACAAAACAAUAAAGGAGAUUUGGG